AUACUUCUCUAUUGUAGAAUGAAGUGUUUAUAGCUGAGUCAGUGUAUAUAUAUCUUUCCUAGUUUAUUUAUCGCUUGUUUAAACGAUAUCGAAAGGAAAAUAUUAGAAAGGGGGAUGAUAAAAACUGCCGUGACUCUAACGAUUGUCGAAACACCUGACAUACUUUCUAUUGGAUUUGUUAGAAAUGUCUGUCCGUCGUUAUUUUAAUCUAUAUGCCUACUGUCUUCUCGUUUAUGGAAUUUUCACUGCAGUCUUUUGCCAAAAUUCUACAAUAAAGUUACUUCGACAAAAUUUAUUAAAGGAUUAUGACAAGUUGGCCAGACCCGUUCAACAUCAUCGCAAUCUCACUACAGUCAAAUUAAAUUUUGUUCCAAGAUAUCUUUUUAAUUUGGACGAAGAAAGACAAACCAUUACUUUACAUGGAUGGUUAAUUUUAG